rfam:Felis catus isolate Cinnamon breed Abyssinian chromosome A3, whole genome shotgun sequence.
GCCUGGCUGGCUCAGUCAGUAGAGCAUGUGACUCUCGAUCUCAGGGUCAUUAGUUUGGACCCAGUGUUGGGUG